rnacentral:rRNA from 1 species
GACGAACGCUGGCGGCGUGCCUAAUACAUGCAAGUCGAACACAGUGGGGACGGGUGAGUAACACGUGGGUAACCUCCCAUCAGAGGGGAUACCACUUGGAAACAGGUGCUAAACCGAUACUGAUGGAUGGACCAGCGGUGCAUUAGCUAGUUGGUGAGGUAACGGCUCACCAAGGCCACGAUGCAUAGCCGGCAUGAGAGGGUGAUCUGCCACACUGGGACUGAGAAACGGCACAGAAUCCUACGGGAGGCAGCAGUAGGGAAGCUGCGGCAAUGGAGGAAAUGCUGACCGAGCAACGCCGCGUGAGUGAAGAAGGUUUUCGGAUCGUAAAACUCUGUUGUUAGAGAAGCGGUAUCUAACCAGAAAGCCACGGCUAACUACGUGCCAGCAGCCGCGGUAAUUC